ensembl:lncRNA
GGAACAUCUGCUACAGCUUUAGAUGGUUUUGCCUUUAGCUACUGCUGAAAAACUUCAGGCUCUGCAUUCCACAUCCUUCUCCCUUGGCCUUUGACACCAGCAGCUGCUGAGCAGAAGAUGUAAAUUGCAAUACCUACAGAACGGGAAGGACAUUAUUUUCCAAAGGGAUAUUGGGAUACUUAAUGGACGUUUCUCUUUCCAUGUUCUGAUCACAAGGAACACUGGAUAGCAGACACUGCAGAUGGAGUUAUCUCCUCAAGGUCAACCACUUCCUAAUUUAUAAUUCUUUUUUUUUCUAAUGCUGUGUUUUCCUUUGCAAAACUGCUUUGUUUUGUUUUGCUCUGUUUUAAACACCAAAAACAAUUGCACCUUAUACUGAAUAGUAAUUAUAAUCAUCAGCAGCAUUGUAAGGAAACCAUGUGCUUCCCUGAAUCAGAAGUGGGGCUCCCAGCCCAGGCAAUCUGUCUUCUUGUGGAAGAACAGCAUUUCUAUAGCACGGGCAGAUCAGGAACAGAGUUACACAAAAAUAAAUAUCAAAGGACUGACAGCCAGCUAUUCCUUUGUGUAAAGAAAGAGCUGCAGAACACUAUUUUCUAAAAAUGGGCUCAGCCAAACAGUGCAGAUUCUCCACCUGUGCUCAGAUAGCUCAGCAGUUCCACCUACAUCAUAUUUUUGUUUGCGUGAAAAAACAGAAACAGAAUGACUGACAGCAUUACAUUUCUUAGAGCACUGAGGCCCAUGUACUGUAAAUGCAUCUUUGGAACUUCCUCAGAAAUCAUAUGUUUCCUAAGGAAAUUACAACAGUUGUGAUGAAAUCACAUUCAUCCGUAUAUGGCAGAAGCUUUGGGUCUGACACGAGGAAAUGAGAAUGGUUUCAGAGUGACAACCAGAAAGAUGAAGACACUACUCCAGUGUUCCAUGGAUGCUGCUUUGCCAGAAAAUAAAUGAAAUACUAGGAUGACUUCAAACAUUUUCAGGAACCAUGCUGACACUCAAAAUAAGGAAACAUCAAGUAACUUUCCUAGUGAGAUCAUAAAAGCAGCGACACUGAUCAAAGCACCAAAAUGCAAGGCGGUUACUUCAUCCCUAGCACAAGAUGCUGCCUCAUAUCUAGGACCAGGAGCUUGCUUGGCAGAGAUAUUCAAACAUUCUUUAAGUAGAGCAUAUCACGUAGUAUAUUUAAAUAGUUAAACAUGGAAAAAUCCACAAAGAUAGUCGAUUUAAACCCUUGAGACUGGUGAAUGACUGUCUUGGGUUAUUAUUGCUUAACAGUAAUAGCAGUAGCUUUUGGUACAGCCCUACCAUAAUCCUAUGUACUCCAUGCACACAGAACAACGGAUUGCAUUUCUUCUGAAAAGUAUACCCUCAGAUUAGUAGGGAAAAACAAAAUGUAAACUACACAAUUAAUUGGUACGAGUGGCAGAUAUCUUCACAACUGUGAUUUUGGAGGGGUUGGUUGUAUUAAAACAACAAC